rnacentral:misc_RNA from 1 species
AACGCACAUUGCGCCCGCUAGUAUUCUGGCGGGCAUGCCUGUUCGAGCGUCAUUUCAACCCUCAAACCCCCGGGUUUGGUGUUGGAGAUCGGCAUGAGUCCCUUCGGGGGCGACGCCGUCUCCCAAAUAUAGUGGCGGUCUCGCUGUAGCUUCCUAUGCGUAGUAGCACACCUCGCACUGGAAAACAGCGUGGCCACGCCGUUAAACCCCCCACUUUCUGAGUUUGACCUCGAAUCAGGUAGGAUUACCCGCUGAACUUAA